UAUUCUUAACCCUAACACACUCACGACUCACCGCAGUCUCCGGCCACCACCACCACCACCCAACAACCCUUUAAAUCAACCCCAAUUCCAAUAACCAAAAACAACCCCCCUAAAUGGAACAACCCCAUCCCCAACCCCCACUCAAUCAACAACCCUCACCACCCCAUUCUCAACCACCACCGGAGGAACAACCAUCUUUAACAUCUUCCAUUUCCCAACUUACCCCUUCAAACCCUUCCAAAAUCCCAGUCCGCCCCCAAAAAAUCCGCAAACUCUCCUCACCACCCACAAUCACCACCACAACCGUACAAGUCAAACCCCAAUCCACCCCCACACCCACCAGCGCAACCAAAAACCGCCGUCGAAACCCUUCCCGAUCACCCCUAAACAUCCCAAAAGUCAACAAACCCUUAUCCACCCCCGGCGAGAUCUCCGCCGCUAUAAACCACCUCCGAUCCGCCGACCCUCUUCUCGCUGACGUCAUCGACAACCACCCCCCACCGUCAUUCGACUCAAAUCAACCACUGUUUCUUGCCCUAACGAAAAGUAUUUUGUAUUAUCAACUUGCGUAUACAGCUGGUACAUCUAUAUACAUUCGUUUUGUAAACUUAUGUGGUGGUGAAAACGGUGUCGUUCCGGAAACUGUACUUAGUUUAACUACUCAACAGCUUAAACAGAUUGGGGUUUCGGGGCGUAAGGCGAGUUAUUUAUAUGACAUUGCUAAUAAGUAUAAUAGCGGCAUUUUGUCGGAUGAGUCGCUGGUGAAAAUGGAUGAUAGGUUACUUUUUAUGACGCUGUCGAUGAUUAAGGGGUUCGGGUCGUGGUCGGUGCAUAUGUUUAUGAUAUUUUCGUUGCAUAGACCGGAUGUUCUGCCGGUUAGUGAUUUGGGGGUGAGGAAAGGAGUGCAGCUUUUGAAUAUGUUGGAUGAGUUGCCGAGGCCGUCUCAGAUGGAGGAGCUGUGUGGGAAGUGGCGCCCGUAUAGGUCGGUUGGGGCGUGGUAUAUGUGGCGGUUUGCGGAGGGGAAGGGUGGUUCGGGUAAUGGAUCACCCGUAUAGCUUGCAUCUGGUAGAAUAGUUUAUAGGUAUUCAUUUUAGCAGAUUCUAGCUAGGCUGGGAGACGUAAUUCGAAUAUGUUUCUUGUUUGCCCUUUCUUUAUGGGGUUCUUGAAUGAAAAACGGCAAGCUUGUUUUCAAACCCGAGAUGGGGUCUAAGUUACAUAAGGGGUAUUUUAUUUUGGGAAGUCUGUACCAGUUCUCUUUCAAAAAACACCUGUGCAGUUAUGCUGCAAAUUGAUGAAUACCGUUUAAGGGCUUGUAUUUGGGGGUAAUGAAAUGGAGAUUGCAUCAGGUGAAAUAAUAUCAUGUAUUGAGUUACAGCCAACUUAUGAAGAUAAUUGGCAGGAGGUGUGUUCAUCUCAUCAAAUGGAUUAUUUUGGUAUUGUAAAUGGAUUUGUCACACACAAUUCAAUGGCCCUAAAUUUUUCAGUUUUUAUUAUUAUUUUUUUUUAAAAAGUGUUUGUUUGCCAAGAACGAAUAACUAUUUAUGCUAGAGGGUGGCAAUAACAGACACAUGUCUAUUCUUAA